rnacentral:rRNA from 1 species
AGGACGAACGCUGGCGGCGCGCUUAAGUACAUGCAAGUCGAGCGAGAACCAGGGCUUCGGCUCUGGGGACAGCGGCGAACGGGUGAGUAACACGUGGGUAAUCAACCCCCGACACCGGGAUAGCCCAGGGAAACUUGGAUUAAUACCGGAUGCUCCGUCUGGCUUUAGGGCCGGCCGGAAAAGGGUAGCUUCGGCCUCCGGUCGGGGACGAGCCCGCGGCGGAUUAGCUUGUUGGUGAGGUAAAGGCUCACCAAGGCGACAAUCCGUAGCUGGUCUGAGAGGACGAUCAGCCACACUGGGACUGAGACACGGCCCAGACUCCUACGGGAGGCAGCAGUAGGGAAUAUUGGACAAUGGGCGCAAGCCUGAUCCAGCCAUGCCGCGUGAGUGAUGAAGGCCCUAGGGUUGUAAAGCUCUUUCACCGGAGAAGAUAAUGACGGUAUCCGGAGAAGAAGCCCGGCUAACUUCGCGCCAGCAGCCGCGGUAA